GCCUUGGAACAAGGUAACUGAGUACCUCGGCAACUGUGAGUUCAAGUUCAUGGACCUUCAAAUGAAUGCUUCCCCAGUAAUGAGAGUCAGCCAACAUUUGGCUCAGUCUCUCUAUAUUUUACUUCAAAAUGUCUACAUAAACCUUGACAGAGAUGAGAGGAGAGGAAGCAUAUGGAUGUGUCACAAGGAAGGUUCUGCUAUAGAGAAGGCAGAUAUAAACUUCAGAUGUCAGAAGAUGACGGAAAAAUACUGCACAGUGAACACUUCCUCGUCUGGCACAGGGCCAA
rnacentral:lncRNA from 1 species